CCUACGGGCGGCAGCAGUGAGGAAUAUUGGUCAAUGGACGAGAGUCUGAACCAGCCAAGCCGCGUGAAGGAUGACUGCCCUAUGGGUUGUAAACUUCUUUUAUAUGGGAAUAAAAUGUUCCACGUGUGGGAUUUUGUAUGUACCAUAUGAAUAAGGAUCGGCUAACUCCGUGCCAGCAGCCGCGGUAAUACGGAGGAUCCGAGCGUUAUCCGGAUUUAUUGGGUUUAAAGGGAGCGUAGGUGGAUUGUUAAGUCAGUUGUGAAAGUUCGCGGCUCAACCGUAAAAUUGCAGUUGAAACUGGCAGGCUUGAGUGCAGUAGAGGUAGGCGGAAUUCGUGGUGUAGCGGUGAAAUGCUUAGAGAUCACGAAGAACUCCGAUUGCGAAGGCAGCUCACUGGACUGCAACUGACGCUGAGGCUCGAAAGUGUGGGUAUCAAACAGGAUUAGAUACCCCUGUAGUC
rnacentral:rRNA from 1 species